rnacentral:rRNA from 1 species
GAUGAACGCUGGCGGCGUGCUUAACACAUGCAAGUCGAACGGUGAAGCAGGAGCUUGCUCCUGUGGAUCAGUGGCGAACGGGUGAGUAACACGUGAGCAAUCUGCCCUGGACUCUGGGAUAAGCGUUGGAAACGACGUCUAAUACCGGAUACGAGGCGUGGGGGCAUCCCCAACGCCUGGAAAGAAUUUCGGUCCAGGAUGAGCUCGCGGCCUAUCAGGUAGUUGGUGAGGUAAUGGCUCACCAAGCCUACGACGGGUAGCCGGCCUGAGAGGGUGACCGGCCACACUGGGACUGAGACACGGCCCAGACUCCUACGGGAGGCAGCAGUGGGGAAUAUUGCACAAUGGGCGCAAGCCUGAUGCAGCAACGCCGCGUGAGGGACGACGGCCUUCGGGUUGUAAACCUCUUUUAGCAGGGAAGAAGCGAAAGUGACGGUACCUGCGGAAAAAGCACCGGCUAACUACGUGCCAGCAGCCGCGGUAAAAC